UCCAAUCAAACCAAGCCGACCAGGGUGAGCUCGGCCCAUUGGACCGAGCUCGACUGAGCCGACCGGCCUGCCAUGCCGGACCACCAGCUGUGCAACCACCCUUAGCCCCCUAAAUAAGCUCAGCCAUCUCUCCCCAUAUCUCUUCCAGCUCCGUUGAAGCUCGCCAUUACCGUGACUCUGCGGAACCGAAUCUCUUCAGACGCGCGCCUUUCCUCAUUCGGCAAAGCAACAACUGUUCCGACGGCUCUACCUCGAAUCGCCAUUGCUUCAAGUUUUUCCUCAGUCAUAGCUUGAGCUUCUUCAUUCGGUUUCAAUCAUGGAGAUGUCUAUGUUUUCCAGUUGCAGUUUGAUAGCCUCGAAUCUGCUUGGGAAGUCGAUCCUGCAGUUUCUUAUUAUCAUCACCUGUCUUCACUCUCGCUAGUUGCUACCUCCAGUGAGUGCCAAUCAUAGUUAGACCUCUGCUCUCUGGAUUUAUGAGAACCACGCUUUCGAGGUUGGGUCAUUGGUCUCAAUUUAUGUACAAUGGGGAGGACCGAAGUUCAAUUCAUUUCCACUCCUAAAAAAGAGCUCAAGGUGUGGUGGAAUAAGCUGGAUUGAAAAAGCCAAAGCUAUGCGAAGUUAAAGAUGGGCCGCCUCCUCCCAUUACUAGAUAUCAACAUCCACUCUGGCACUAUGCAAGCGACACUGCACUUUUGGUGUCACCGAACGUCUACCAUCACAUUUGGUCCAUCAUAUGGGUUGACGUGGGAUUGCCAAAGUGGAUUCCCUAUCAUUGUGUUGCUUGGUACAUGAAUUUCGAUGGUGAGUUGGUCAGAUCAUUGAGAGGCUUUGAUGGCAAAAGUGAUGAGUCGACGGGUGAGGUUGUCAAUCUGGAGCGGAAAGCUUGACUUUUGUACAGGCAAGCCUUUGGGCGAAGAAGAGUAGUGUCACUAUAGGUGACCCUAACCCUUUCCCGGGUCUUUUAUGUUUUGUGGUAGUUUUUGGAUGAUGUAUUAAUAAAGUAAUACUGAUGUGAAUAUAAUGAGAUAUAUGUAUAAUAUUUAAAUUGUACGACUUCCUA